UACGUAGGGAGCAAGCGUUGUCCGGAAUCAUUGGGCGUAAAGCGCGCGUAGGUGGCCCGGUAAGUCCGCUCUGAAAGUCACAGGCUCAACCUGUGAAAGCGGGUGGAUACUGCCGGGCUAGAGUCCGGAAGAGGCGAGUGGAAUUCCUGGUGUAGCGGUGGAAUGCGCAGAUAUCAGGAGGAACACCAACGGCGAAGGCAGCACUCUGGGCCGGUACUGACGCUGAGGAGCGAAAGCGUGGGGAGCAAACAGG
rnacentral:rRNA from 1 species